UUCCGCUCAUCAGUCAUGGACAGAACUAUGUUGCCGGUCCUGUUGUGUCUGCAGGCUUUCCUGCUCAUCACAGCCUUCACUUCAACUGAUGCAGCCGCUCUGGUGUCAGAUGAUCAACAACAACAGUCUCCAUAUCUGGUGCAGAGAUGGCCUUAUUGGCAGAAAUAUCGAGGAUGUUGUCCGAGACCAGGACAAUAUGACCCAUGGGGCCAGUAGUUUCUUGACAGUAUACUGGUACAAUCAGCUGACAACGCCAUGGCACCAUGUUUCCACUUGACUACUUACUAGAAUAACUGAGCACUCCUCAUAUCUCAUAAAUUAUCAACCCAAGAACCAAUCUCAUCGGCAAAAAUAAUUUUCUGUAAAAAUGUUGCACCUUACCUAUUUUCAAUGUGAUUUUCAAAGACAAAAACUGGUUAAAAUUGUUUAUUUUUCAGCCAAGUCUACAGGAGAAGUAAAUUUGUAUUGUAGCACAAAGUGUAAUUUAUUUUUUUGGUUGAUCACUUCCUCAUCAACAAGUUGUUUGUUUCAAAAUUAGUUGAAAUCAUUGAAAGAAGCAGAUUUAGACCAUUUGAACCAUUUGACCGUCAGAUUAAAAGGAACAGUUCAACAUUUGGGGAAAUAUGCUUAUUCACAUAGACUUACAGUAUUAAGCUAGCCUGUCUCUGUUUAAAGCUAACAAAAUCCACCUACCAGGACGUCUAAAGCUCACUAAUUAACACUUUAUAUCUUCUUUGUUUCAUCCAUAAAUGUGUAAAAACAACAAUUUGCUGUUUUAUGGGGGUUAUGUGGGACUAUUUAAGGGCAAUAUCGCCUGAAAUCUCCGAUGGUGGCCUGCUCAGAGCCCAGAUAUAGUCCAGUACGUAACCUCCAGUAAAACAUCAAAUUGUCAUUUUUACACUUGUGCACUUUCUUGUACAGAUUAAACACACAAGAUAUAAAGUGUUAAUAACUGACAUUUAGAGGUGUUGGUAGGUGGAUUUUGUUACCUUUGGACAAAGUGAGGCUAGCUGUUUCCCUAUGUUUUCAGCCUUUACCCUAAACUAACCUUUUGCUGGAAGUAGCCUUAUACUUACCGGAGACAAGAGAGUGGUUUCGAUCUUAUCACCUAACUUUAUGCCAAAAAGCAUAUUUUACAAAAUGUCAAAUUAUUGCUUUAAGAAAAUGUAAUUUGCACAAUAAAUAAUCAUCUGCAAACAUGUUGUAUAUGUUAUCUAGUUACACUGUGCUUUUUUAAUGACAAAGACUUGAUUAAACUGUUUAAAAUCGGUUAAAUAAAUGUAUUAGUUAAAACAAAAUAUUUAGGUGUUCAGAGAUACCAUGUGCUUACAAAUGUCUGCUUAUGAUAGAUAAUGAUGUGAUCUAAUAUUAGAUAAUGUUUUGUUGCAAAGUAAAGUGGUUGAAAUAAAAGUUCACAUGGAGUGCA